CAAUAGCGUAUAUUAAAGUUGUUGCAGUUAAAAAGCUCGUAGUUGGAUUUGUGGCGUACGGUGUGUUCCGGGCACUUGUUGUCUGAGUAACCUGCUGUUGCCAUCCUUGGGUGGAACCUGUGUGGCAUUAGGUUGUCGUGCAGGGGAUGCCCAUCAUUUACUGUGAAAGAAUUAGAGUGUUCAAAGCAGGCUUAUGCCGUUGAAUAUAUUAGCAUGGAAUAAUGAGAUAGGACUUUCUUGCUAUUUUGUUGGUUUGCGCAAAGAGGUAAUGAUUAAUAGGGACAGUUGGGGGUAUUCGUAUUCCAUUGUCAGAGGUGAAAUUCUUGGAUUUUUGGAAGACGAACUACUGCGAAAGCAUUUACCAAGGAUGUUUUCAUUAA
rnacentral:rRNA from 1 species